rfam:Triticum aestivum genome assembly, contig: Triticum_aestivum_CS42_TGACv1_scaffold_407613_5BL
GACAUGAAGAGGAAGAAAAGGUGACCUAAGAGCAGUGGGCAUGGGAACAUGAUGGAAGGCUAAAGCACUUGUUCCUCGUCUAACACUAGAGGAGGCUUUGGUUUGAGUUUUUGUGAUGCCUUCCAUGCCUAUUGUUCUUUGGUGCCCCUUCCUCUUCAUGGGAUAU